rnacentral:rRNA from 1 species
CCUACGGGAGGCAGCAGUGGGGAAUAUUGCACAAUGGGGGAAACCCUGAUGCAGCGACGCCGCGUGAGUGAAGAAGUAAUUCGUUAUGUAAAGCUCUAUCAGCAGGGAAGAAAAUGACGGUACCUGAGUAAGAAGCCCCGGCUAACUACGUGCCAGCAGCCGCGGUCAUACGUAGGGGGCAAGCGUUAUCCGGAUUUAAUGGGUGUAAAGGGAGCGUAGACGGCAGUGCAAGUCUGGAGUGAAAGGCGGGGGCUUAACCCCCGGACUGCUCUGGAAACUGUACGGCUGGAGUGCAGGAGAGGUAAGUGGAAUUCCUAGUGUAGCGGUGAAAUGCGUAGAUAUUAGGAGGAACACCAGUGGCGAAGGCGGCUUACUGGACUGUAACUGACGUUGAGGCUCGAAAGCGUGGGGAGCAAACAGGAUUAGAUACCCGGGUAGUC